rnacentral:tRNA from 1 species
GGAGGGGCUGGUGGCUCAGUGGUAGAGCAUCUGCUGGGCAUGCAGAAGAUCCCAGGUUCAACCCUCAGUGUCUCCA